CCUACGGUGGGCAGCAGUGGGGAAUAUUGCACAAUGGGGGAAACCCUGAUGCAGCAACGCCGCGUGAAGGAAGACGGUUUUCGGAUUGUUAACUUCUUUUCUUAGUGAAGAAUAAUGACGGUAGCUAAGGAGCAAGCCACGGCUAACUACGUGCCAGCAGCCUCGGUAAUACGUAGGUGGCAAGCGUUUUCCGGAAUUCCUGGGUUUAAAGGGAGCGCAGGCGGGAAGCCAAGUCAGCUGUGAAAACUACGGGCUUAACUUGUAGACUGCAGUUGAAACUGGGUUUCUUGAGUGAAGUAGAGGGUGGCGGAAUUCCUGGUGUAGCGGUGAAAUGCGUAGAUAUUCGGAGGAACACCGGUGGCGAAGGCAGACAACUAGGCUUUAACUGACGCUGAGGCUCGAAAGUGUGGGGAGCAAACAGGAUUAGAUACCCGAGUAGUC
rnacentral:rRNA from 1 species